AACUUUCCAGAGAUGGAUUGGUGCCCGAAAGGGAGCCUGGACACAGGUGCUGCAUGGCUGUCGUCAGCUCGUGUCGUGAGAUGUUGGGUUAAGUCCCGCAACGAGCGCAACCCUUGUCAUUAAUUGCCAUCAUUCAGUUGGGCACUUUAAUGAGACUGCCGGUGACAAACCGGAGGAAGGUGGGGAUGACGUCAAGUCCUCAUGGCCCUUAUGGGUAGGGCUUCACACGUCAUACAAUGGUCGGUACAGAGGGUUGCCAAGCCGCGAGGUGGAGCCAAUCCCAGAAAGCCGAUCGUAGUCCGGAUCGCAGUCUGCAACUCGACUGCGUGAAGUCGGAAUCGCUAGUAAUCGUGAAUCAGAAUGUCACGGUGAAUACGUUCCCGGGCCUUGUACACACCGCCCGUCACGCCAUGGGAGUGGGUUGCUCCAGAAGUAGCUAGUCUAACCGCUUGUGGGAGGCAGCGUCCUAAGGAAUGGUCGGUGACUGGGGUGAAGUCGUAACAAGGUA
rnacentral:rRNA from 1 species